GAUGAAGAACGCAGCGAAAUGCGAUAAGUAAUGUGAAUUGCAGAAUUCAGUGAAUCAUCGAAUCUUUGAACGCUCAUUGCGGCCGUCAGUAUUCUGGCGGGCAUGCCUGUUCGAGCGUCAUUACGCCCCUCAAGUCCCCUGUGGACUUGGUGUUGGGGAUCGGCGAGGCUGGUUUUCCAGCACAGCCGUCCCUUAAAUUAAUUGGCGGUCUCGCCGUGGCCCUCCUCUGCGCAGUAGUAAAACACUCGCAACCGGAGCCCGGCGCGGUCCACUGCCGUAAAACCCCCCAACUUUUUAUAGUUGACCUCGAAUCAGGUAGGACUACCCGCUGAACUUAAGCAUAUCAAUAAGCGGAGGA
rnacentral:misc_RNA from 1 species